UGAACGCUGGCGGCGUGCCUAAUACAUGCAAGUCGAGCGAACAGACGAGGAGCUUGCUCCUCUGACGUUAGCGGCGGACGGGUGAGUAACACGUGGAUAACCUACCUAUAAGAAUGGGAUAACUUCGGGAAACCGGAGCUAAUACCGGAUAAUAUAUUGAACCGCAUGGUUCAAUAGUGAAAGACGGUUUUGCUGUCACUUAUAGAUGGAUCCGCGCCGCAUUAGCUAGUUGGUAAGGUAACGGCUUACCAAGGCAACGAUGCGUAGCCGACCUGAGAGGGUGAUCGGCCACACUGGAACUGAGACACGGUCCAGACUCCUACGGGAGGCAGCAGUAGGGAAUCUUCCGCAAUGGGCGAAAGCCUGACGGAGCAACGCCGCGUGAGUGAUGAAGGUCUUCGGAUCGUAAAACUCUGUUAUUAGGGAAGAACAAAUGUGUAAGUAACUAUGCACGUCUUGACGGUACCUAAUCAGAAAGCCACGGCUAACUACGUG
rnacentral:rRNA from 1 species